AGCCUUAGGAAAUAAUCUAAGGUUUGAUCUGCCCAAUGUUUAGUUUCCGAAUGAAUGGCCGCGGUACUUUGACCGUGCUAAGGUAGCGCAAUCAAUUGGCUUUUAAAUGAGGCCAGGUAUGAAUGGGGUUACGGAGUUAAGCUGUCUUUAGGUUAUUUUAUUGAAGUUACUGUGUAGGUGAAAAAGCCUGCGAGAAGAAAAGGGACGAGAAGACCCUUAGAGUUUACCUUAAUCACAAAAUACUUUUUGUGUUAGUUUUGUUGGGGCAACGGAGAAACAGACGUAAACUUUCUUGAAAAUUUUACAAACCGAUUAUUUUAAAUACGAAUAAACUACCUUAGGGAUAACAGCAUAAUUUUAUAAUUAAGUUUGUGACCUCGAUGUUGGACUAGGAACCUAAAAGGUUAGCCGCUUUUUAGUAAAGUUCUGUUCGAACUAGUAUUCCU
rnacentral:rRNA from 1 species